AGACGCCAGCGGCCUCCUUCCAUGAUGACCCCUUUCUCUUAUGAAAAGCUCGCCGUGUUUUCCCCUGAACAUUUAGAAACAUUAUAGCUGUGCAUCCUAGGAGCUCUCUCAGGCCAUCACUGAUUUUGGCCGUCGAAUUGCACAUCGUGAUCAUUCUUGGGCGUCCGAUGUGUUCCCUCCCCUCCCCCCCUUUACCCUACGUCUCAACCCCACCUCUCCCAAUUUCACCGCUGCUGCCGUCACCGCAAGAGAGAGAUGGAUAUAGGCUACCAAAAAUGCGAGGAUGGUCGGGGCGAGUCGCGGAACACAUCAGGAGUUGAGCCACCCUCAAACCAGUUAGCAUCGUCUUCACCUUUGCAGCCAAUUCACCAUGUUGUCAGCAAGAUCUUCCAUGAUCCGUUCGUUCCACGCUAGAGAUGAGGGAGGUGGUGGAAAAGGAAGAGCGACGACUCUAGGAGGGGAAGGAGGAGAUGGUGACCAGCACGGCUCCUCCGGCCAGGUAGACGCGGGCACUCCGCUUCGAGCAUAUCGACUUACUUGCGUGGUGGAUGAGUCUUCUCCAACGGUGCGCCGAAAUCCAAACCCACCUGCGAUUUUUUGCCCCUGAUUUCCUAUUCUUCGUGGGAUGCUAAUGGCCGCCAUAAUGAUGGAGGCCAAGAAGGGUUUGAUGAACAGGGAAAGGGAGAGGGAUCAGCUCCCAGUCGGCAUGCAGGCCCUGGCCGUCGACGAUGACCCUAUGUGCCUCAAAGUUCUGAUGGUCCUCCUCUGAUACUGCCACUAUCAUGUCAGGGCCCGGGGGCACUUCUAAAUGCUACUGGAAAUGUGACGGAGAAGAUUAUUUCAGUAUGCACCGGAUAAUGGAAUCAUUUGUGCCAUCCAGCAACAACUACUAGGAUCUAUAUUGUCAAAAAUAUUGUCAGUAUGGUGAUAUGCUUCCUUUGAUGGCGGGCUUGCCCAUCCUGACAAUAAGAACAGUUGCUAUUUUGCACAAAUACAUUUCCAAUGAAAUCCACAUAUUUUAUUUCUGUAUAGCCUUCCUUUGAUGGUUUGGUUCAGCCUAAAUGUUGGCGCACUAUGGAAAAUUUGAAGCUCCUCUUUCAAGAUCCAAGGAAUUCAAGGUGCAUAUCUUCGACAGGCUAAGUGGAAUUGCGGCUCAUUUACUCAUCAACCAUAAUCUCCCGAGACUUCAGGAAGCACGUCUCCUGUCCUUGUUUUGAUUCCAAGCUCUAGGUGCUUUCUGACAUACAUAUUUUCAAAUUCCGUCACAUAGUCCAUGACUAUACCGGAAUUAGUUAAUCCUCUUAGAAAUCAAAAAAGAAAAAUUUAUAGCAUAAAUGUGUUCUCUAUUAAAUCUUGUCCUUUUAAACAUUGUUGUUUGAAUUAAUAUACAUGUAGCAUUUAUGAAGUCA